GCCUAGAUAGCUGAGUUGGUCAGGGCACAGUGCUGACAAUGUCAAGGUUGCAGGUUUGAUCCCUGUUUGGGACA
rnacentral:tRNA from 1 species